UACGUAGGAUCCGAGCGUUGUCCGGAUUUACUGGGUGUAAAGGGUGCGCAGGCGGACUGGUAAGUCAGUGGUGAAAUCUCGUCGCUUAACGACGAAACUGCCUUUGAUACUAUCAGUCUUGAAUCCGGUAGAGAUCUGUGGAAUUCCGAGUGUAGCAGUGAAAUGUGGUAGAUAUUCGGAAGAACACCAGUGGCGGAAGGCAGCAGAUUGGGCCGGGUAUUGACGCUCAGGCACGAAAGCAUGGGGAUCCAAACAGG
rnacentral:rRNA from 1 species